UAGAAUCGUUGAAAAUGUGAC
rnacentral:piRNA from 1 species